UAACGAAGGUCCCAGCAGGGAGGUUGAUUAACUCUGAACGAGUCCUCUCUAACACUUAUUUUACCUUCGGAUAUUUAUUUUGCCGAAUCGUAGGAUGUGCAAAUUGUUUUGUUUUGUCUUGUCUUGAAAUCUCGGCAAUAUUUAA
rnacentral:snoRNA from 1 species